AAUAUUGGUCAAUGGAGGCAACUCUGAACCAGCCAUGCCGCGUGCAGGAUGACGGUCCUAUGGAUUGUAAACUGCUUUUGUACAGGAAGAAAAAGAGCUACGAGUAGCUUAUUGACGGUACUGUAAGAAUAAGGAUCGGCUAACUCCGUGCCAGCAGCCGCGGUAAUACGGAGGAUCCAAGCGUUAUCCGGAAUCAUUGGGUUUAAAGGGUCCGUAGGCGGCCUUAUAAGUCAGCGGUGAAAGUUUUUGGCUUAACCAAAAAAUUGCCGUUGAUACUGUAGGGCUUGAAUUUUUGUGAAGUAACUAGAAUAUGUAGUGUAGCGGUGAAAUGCGUAGAGAUCUGGAGGAAUACCGAUGGCGAAGGCAGCCAUCUGGCCUAAUACUGACACUGAGGUGCGAAAGCGUGGGGAGCAAACAG
rnacentral:rRNA from 1 species